ensembl:lncRNA
GUGAUGAACAAAACAGAGCGAUUUGUCCUAAACAAAUUAUCUUUUUGGAAAAACUGAACAUUUGCUAUCUAACUGAGAGUCUCCUCAUUGAAAACAUCUGAAGUUCUUCAAAGGAACCAGCUGCCAGACUUCAUCCUGGAGGAGCCCCACAGCAGUCAGCCUGACAGAAGCUACAGAGGCAGAUCUCUACCAGGUGCCCUGGGGCCCGAAGAAAGAGUUCCUGCAGAGUCUGGUGAGAGCCAGACAGUCUGGAAUACUCAGCGCUCACAGGGUGUCAGAUGCCCUCCUGUCAGGCACCAUGUCCCCUCCCCCAUCCAGCUCGGUCCCCUCUCUGGGGGUUGAGGAGUGGGGACAUGUCAGACCCAGGCGGGGAGGAUGAGGGGCUGCGCUGGCUCUUCAGAUAUGGAUGACAGUGGAGAGCUGAGCAAACGUGAGGCCCGGCCGCUCCGCCUCUACCUGAUCAGGAGGUUGAAGCCACGUUGCUGUGCUGAGAUUUUUGCCCAGUACUGUGACCGCCAGAGGGAGCGCGGCCUCACCCUGUCUGGGGCUGGGAGUAUCUGUCAGUAGAAUCGAGGAGAGAAAACAGAGGGAGAGCAUAGAGAAACAGAAGAUCCAAGCCUGAAGCCUUGGGCCUGUAUUAAUUAAGCGUCUUAGAGUAGGAGUGCUGAUCUAGGAUCAGGUCCAUGUUAUCUGAUUCAUUAUGAUCUCAAAAGCGAAACAGAUUCUAGAACAGCACUCCUACUCUGAAACGCUUGGUAAAUACAGGCCCUGAAGACCUGCAUUCUGCUCCACUCCUGUCACAUUGUCAUUGGAAGGUCCAGUUCUGAAGGCACUUUGUACAGCACAAACAUAAGACCUCAAUUGAAGCGCCGUUGCAGAAUAUACAGCCCACCGAAUAGAGAAUAUAGUCUCCGCUUUAUUUUAAUGUGUCCUAUGUCUUUUGUGUUAUCUUGUCGACUAUGAUAAUUUACUCAUAUUCAUGUUUAUCAGUAAUGGUCUUCUGCUGUAAAACCACAAUGUAACUUGUGUAUUUGUCAUUUUAAUCCUUAAACCCCUGCUCAAAUAUUUGUUGACAAUAAACAACAUGGAUUUUAAAAAUACAA